CAAAGGUUUGGUCCUAGCCUUUCUAUUAACUCUUAGUAGGAUUACACAUGCAAGUAUCCGCACUCCAGUGAAGAUGCCCUUCAAAUCAUUGAUGAUAAAAAGGAGCAGGUAUCAAGCACACAAACAAAUGUAGCUUAAAACGCCUUGCCCAGCCACACCCCCACGGGAUACAGCAGUGAUAAAAAUUAAGCCAUGAACGAAAGUUCGACUAAGCCAUACUAAUUUAAGGGUUGGUAAAUUUCGUGCCAGCCACCGCGGUCAUACGAUUAACCCAAGUUAAUAGACACACGGCGUAAAGCGUGUUAAGGAAAACAUCACACAAUAAAGUUAAAUCUAAGCUAUGCUGUAAAAAGCCUGAGACAAGACAAAAAUAAACUACGAAAGUGACUUUAAUAUUCCGACCACACGAUAGCUAAGAAACAAACUGGGAUUAGAUACCCCACUAUGCUUAGCCCUAAACCAAGGUAGUAAAAAUAACAAAACUACUCGCCAGAGUACUACUAGCAACAGCCUAAAACUCAAAGGACUUGGCGGUGCUUUAUAUCCACCUAGAGGAGCCUGUUCUGUAAUCGAUAAACCCCGAUAAACCUCACCAGCCCUUGCUCAAAACAGCCUAUAUACCGCCAUCUUCAGCAAACCCUAAAAAGGAGACACAGUAAGCAUAACCAUAGGACAUGAAUACGUUAGGUCAAGGUGUAGCCUAUGGGUUGGAUAGAAAUGGGCUACAUUUUCUAACAUAGAAUACACACGGAAAUUCUUGUGAAACCGAGAAUGGAAGGAGGAUUUAGUAGUAAAUUAAGAAUAGAGAGCUUAAUUGAAUAAGGCCAUGAAGCACGCACACACCGCCCGUCACCCUCCUCAAGUACAAAGUACAAAACCAACCCUAUUAACAAACGUACAAGCAUAUUAGAGGAGACAAGUCGUAACAAGGUAAGCGUACUGGAAAGUGCGCUUGGAUAUAU
rnacentral:ncRNA from 1 species